rnacentral:misc_RNA from 1 species
GGGGGAUUGUCAACAAGGCAACCUCGCCCUUCUUCAUAGUCACCACUGCCCGGUCCAGCCCUUCAAUGACUUGCUCCUCAUCUGUCUUAAAUUCGAAAGGCUCCUCAUCAUCAUGACCCUUUUUGGUGAACAACUUCCCAUCCUGGAGCUUUCCAGUCAAUUUUACUUUAACAACUGCACCAUCAUUCGGCUUUUCAUAUCCCUCUCCUUCCUUCAGUAUUUUCUUAAGGAUCUUCUUAUCAUCCCCUACUGCAGUGACAGUCUUCCACGAAACCAACUCGAGCUCUAUGUGAAGAAUUGCACUCGAUGGUACAGAACCUUCAUUGCCAGAUGCUGACCUACCAUUCUCACCAAAGGCAUACUGUGGUUUUACAGUAAGAAGAACCUUUUCGCCCUUUUUCAUGGUCUUAACAGCUUUAGCAAUCGCAGGGCAGAAGAAACCUUCUUUUACAGUGAACUCAACACCCUCAGAUUUGGAUACAACCGUGCCAUCCUCAAGACGGGCCUCAUAUUUUACAAAAACCUCAUCCAGAUCUUUUGGAUUUUCCCAUUUCUCUCCUUCCUUGAGGAUUUUCUUGAAGAUGCCUCCAUCCUUGCAUAUGUCCUUGACGCUAGACCAUGACAGCAACUCAACAUCAAAUACAAGCGUGGCAUUUGGAGGGAUUGUUGGGGGAGAGCCAGUAGCGCCGUAGGCAAGCUCAGAUGGUAUGGUAAAUAUGGCAUUCUCGCCUUUUUUCAUAGUCUUAAUACCCUGGUCCCAUCCCUUGAUAACUUGACCUUGACCGAGCUUAAACUUGAAUGUCUCAGCACGAUCACGGCUGGAAUCAAACUUAGUACCAUCAAGCAGCGUUCCAGUGUAGUGCACUUCGACCUCAUCACCGG